UAAUUGAAGAGUUUGAUCAUGGCUCAGAUUGAACGCUGGCGGCAGGCCUAACACAUGCAAGUCGAACGGUAACAGGAAGCAGCUUGCUGCUUUGCUGACGAGUGGCGGACGGGUGAGUAAUGUCUGGGAAACUGCCUGAUGGAGGGGGAUAACUACUGGAAACGGUGGCUAAUACCGCAUAACGUCGCAAGACCAAAGAGGGGGACCUUCGGGCCUCUUGCCAUCAGAUGUGCCCAGAU
rnacentral:rRNA from 1 species